rnacentral:rRNA from 1 species
AAAUAAUGAAUUAGAUUUAUAUUUGAAUAGAUUUUAUAUGUUAGUCAAUUAUGAAGUUUAAAAAUGUUGGCAGUAUACUAUUACAUUCUGAGAAACUUGCUUGAUUAAAAUGAUAUUACACAAUUUAUCUUACCUUGAUUUAUUGGUUUAUGUAUUGCUGUUUAAUUUAUUGUUUAUUAUUUUGAAUAAAUUUAAGUAAUAAUAAAAAUUAUUAAGAAAUUCAAGUCAAAAUGUAAUUUUAUUAAGGUUUAAGUGAGUUGCGUUUUUUUAGAUAAAGAGAAUGAUUAGUAAAUUGAAAGAUUUAUGAAUAAUGAGGAUUAGGUUGUAAAAAAAGAGUAGUUAGUUUUUUUGAUAAGGUUUAUAGUUAUGU